CUCCUCGGUUAAUACCCGUGGACGAUGACAUUAGCUGCAGAAUAAGCACCGGCUAACUCUGUGCCAGCAGCCGCGGUAAUACAGAGGGUGCAAGCGUUAAUCGGAAUUACUGGGCGUAAAGCGAGCGUAGGUGGCUUGAUAAGUCAGAUGUGAAAUCCCCGGGCUUAACCUGGGAACUGCAUCUGAUACUGUUAAGCUAGAGUAGGUGAGAGGGAAGUAGAAUUUCAGGUGUAGCGGUGAAAUGCGUAGAGAUCUGAAGGAAUACCGAUGGCGAAGGCAGCUUCCUGGCAUCAUACUGACACUGAGGCUCGAAAGCGUGGGUAGCAAACAGGAUUAGAUACCCUGGUAGUCCACGCCGUAAACGAUGUC
rnacentral:rRNA from 1 species